rnacentral:rRNA from 1 species
GGGGAAUAUUGGACAAUGGGCGCAAGCCUGAUCCAGCCAUACCGCGUGGGUGAAGAAGGCCUUCGGGUUGUAAAGCCCUUUUGUUGGGAAAGAAAAGCAUUCGGUUAAUACCCGAUUGUUCUGACGGUACCCAAAGAAUAAGCACCGGCUAACUUCGUGCCAGCAGCCGCGGUAAUACGAAGGGUGCAAGGGUUACUCGGAAUUACUGGGCGUAAAGCGCGCGCAGGCGGUCCUUUAAGUCUGAUGGGAAAGCCCACGGCUCAACCGUGGAGGGUCAUUGGAAACUGGGGGACUUGAGUGCAGAAGAGGAAAGUGGAAUUCCAAGUGUAGCGGUGAAAUGCGUAGAGAUUUGGAGGAACACCAGUGGCGAAGGCGACUUUCUGGUCUGUAACUGACGCUGAGGCGCGAAAGCGUGGGGAGCAAACA